ACCUUCGGGUUAGUGGCGGACGGGUGAGUAACGCGUGGGAAUCUGCCCUCAGGAGGGGGAUAACGGCUGGAAACGGCCGCUAAUACCCCAUAUGCCGAGAGGUGAAAUGAAUUUCGCCUGAGGAUGAGCCCGCGUCUGAUUAGCUAGUUGGUGAGGUAAGAGCUCACCAAGGCAUCGAUCAGUAGCUGGUCUGAGAGGAUGAUCAGCCACACUGGGACUGAGACACGGCCCAGACUCCUACGGGAGGCAGCAGUGGGGAAUUUUCCGCAAUGGGCGAAAACCUGACGGAGCAACGCCGCGUGAGGGAUGAAGGCCUCUGGGCUGUAAACCUCUUUUCUCAAGGAAGAAGAUCUGACGGUACUUGAGGAAUAAGCCACGGCUAAUUCCGUGCCAGCAGCCGCGGUAAUACGGGAGUGGCAAGCGUUAUCCGGAAUUAUUGGGCGUAAAGCGCCCGCAGGCGGCCCUUCAAGUCUGCUGUUAAAACGUGGAGCUUAACUCCAUCAUGGCAGUGGAAACUGUUGGGCUUGAGUGUGGUAGGGGCAGAGGGAAUUCCCGGUGUAGCGGUGAAAUGCGUAGAUAUCGGGAAGAACACCAGUGGCGAAGGCGCUCUGCUGGGCCAUCACUGACGCUCAUGGACGAAAGCCAGGGGAGCGAAAGGGAUUAGAUACCCCUGUAGUCCUGGCCGUAAACGAUGAACACUAGGUGUCGGGGGAAUCGACCCCCUCGGUGUCGUAGCCAACGCGUUAAGUGUUCCGCCUGGGGAGUACGCACGCAAGUGUGAAACUCAAAGGAAUUGACGGGGGCCCGCACAAGCGGUGGAGUAUGUGGUUUAAUUCGAUGCAACGCGAAGAACCUUACCAGGGUUUGACAUCCUGCGAAUCUCUUGGAAACGAGAGAGUGCCUUCGGGAGCGCAGUGACAGGUGGUGCAUGGCUGUCCUCAGCUCGUGUCCUGAAAUGUUGGGUUAAGUCCCGCAACGAGCGCAACCCACGUCUUUAGUUGCCAGCAUUUAGUUGGG
rnacentral:rRNA from 1 species